GGAAAACACAAGCAGAGGGUUACUGGCUAAGCUGUAAAACUAGAAGCAGUGGGAGGAGUAGGAAGGUGAGAAGGAGUAUUUAACAGUGGCGUUUGGUGACUUUUACAGACAGGUAAGCAGAGCUGAAGAACCAACUAUAAGAUAUUGCUUACAAUUGCGUAAUGUUCUAACUGAUGUCUUUUUGUACCUUUAACUGGUCAAGCACUACUUGCCCUGCUUGUCCUGAUCACACACCAAUGAUAUUUAAGGAUGUUGAAAGAAAAAAGUAAAAGAGGACGAAGAAAGGGGGUAUGGCAAGUCAAACUAGGGCAUCCACAUGGUGACCACAUGUAACUGCAGGUACUAACUCUGUAGUAACAUGACAUUACUACCAUAAAAUAAAAACGAAAUAUGUCCUACAUUAUUGGUCUUUUUUAAUUAAAUAGUCUGUUUAUACCUUUGUUUACAAAAACUGAACAGGCAGUAGAGAGAGAAAGCCAGAAACAAAGGAACAAUGGAAAAUGGAGUAAGAAGGGAAGAUGAAAAAAGGAAAGAAGGAAGGAAAGACAUUUGAUUCAAAACAAGCUUUUUAUCUAAACAGCUUUAAAAGUCAGUAUUUGCUAAAUCCUCUGCCAGCCCCAGAUCUUAUAUAUGACAUUUUUAAAAUGUUUACAGUGACUUAAAACAGAGACCAACCCUUCUGGAAGAGUCAAAAUGAAAGCAUUACAGCUUGCUGUCAUUCUCCUGAUUGUCUGCAUGAGCAGUGCAGUGGCUCUGAAGUGCAACCACUGUAUUCCAUAUUCAGUUGGUGCCCAUUGCACCAACACAGUGGAGACCUGCCAGAGAUUCAAUGAAGUCUGUGCCUCUGUCAUCUUUACAUUUCCCAGUAAGUCAUUUGAGUGAAAAAAGGUUUUUUGCAGUGAAGUCUGGACAGUGCCAGGCUAGCUGUUUCCCCAUUUCUAGUUGGUGAUAACUGUGUCCUGACUCCAGGUCUGAACUUAACAUACAAACGAGAGUGAUAGCAAUCUUCUCAUCUCGCUCUCAGAAAGAAGUACAAAUACAUGCAUAUCCCUAAACAUAUAAUAUAACAAAAAUAUUAACUUCAGCAUGCAUUUCAAAUGAUUUAGAUCUUAUUCCAUUUUGUGUGCUUUAUUUUAAAAUAUUUGCCAUAAAAAGGAAACUAACCAGGUUAAUUUCAUUUCUUUGUGAUCAUUUUGCUGUCUUUACAGUAAUUUUCCAAAAUUGCAAAUCAUUGUGAGACUUUGUGAGUGCCAAGUGUUUUUCAGGAUUU